rnacentral:rRNA from 1 species
GAUGAACGCUGGCGGCGUGCCUAAUACAUGCAAGUCGAACGCUGAAGGAAGGAGCUUGCUCUUUCCGGAUGAGUUGCGAACGGGUGAGUAACGCGUAGGUAACCUGCCUGGUAGCGGGGGAUAACUAUUGGAAACGAUAGCUAAUACCGCAUAACAGUAGAUGUUGCAUGAUAUCUACUUAAAAGGUGCAAUUGCACCACUACCAGAUGGACCUGCGUUGUAUUAGCUAGUUGGUGAGGUAACGGCUCACCAAGGCGACGAUACAUAGCCGACCUGAGAGGGUGAUCGGCCAAACUGGGACUGAGACACGGCCCAGACUCCUACGGGAGGCAGCAGUAGGGAAUCUUCGGCAAUGGACGGAAGUCUGACCGAGCAACGCCGCGGGAGUGAAGAAGGUUUUCGGAUCGUAAAGCUCUGUUGUAAGAGAAGAACGAGUGUGAGAGUGGAAAGUUCACACUGUGACGGUAGCUUACCAGAAAGGGACGGCUAACUACGUG